rnacentral:rRNA from 1 species
CGGGUGAGUAACGCGUAGAUAAUCUGCCUUAGACUCUGGGAUAACAUCUCGAAAGGGGUGCUAAUACCGGAUAAGCCCACGGGGACGUGAGUUCUUGCGGGAAAAGGGGGCCUCUGCAUAUGCUCUUGAUCUAAGAUGAGUCUGCGUACCAUUAGCUUGUUGGUAGGGUAAUGGCCUACCAAGGCGACGAUGGUUAGCUGGUCUGAGAGGAUGAUCAGCCACACUGGGACUGAGACACGGCCCAGACUCCUACGGGAGGCAGCAGUGGGGAAUUUUGCGCAAUGGGGGAAACCCUGACGCAGCAACGCCGCGUGAGUGAUGAAGGCUUUCGGGUCGUAAAGCUCUGUCUAGAGGGAAGAAGUGAUAUUUGGCUAAUACCCAGAUUUCUUGACGGUACCUCUGAAGGAAGCACCGGCUAACUCCGUGCCAGCAGCCGCGGUAAUACGGAGGGUGCAAGCGUUGUUCGGAAUUAUUGGGCGUAAAGCGCGUGUAGGCGGUUUGUUAAGUCUGAUGUGAAAGCCCUGGGCUCAACCUGGGAAGUGCGUUGGAAACUGGCGGACUUGAAUACGGGAGAGGGUAGUGGAAUUCCGAGUGUAGGAGUGAAAUCCGUAGAUAUUCGGAGGAACACCGGUGGCGAAGGCGGCUACCUGGACCGAUAUUGACGCUGAGACGCGAAAGCGUGGGUAGCAAACAGGAUUAGAUACCCUGGUAGUCCACGCCGUAAACGAUGAGUACUAGGUGUUGCG